rnacentral:rRNA from 1 species
UCCGAAGGGGGCUAUCGUUGCUCGGAAUCACUGGGCGUAAAGCGCACGUAGGCGGCUUCUUAAGUCAGGGGUGAAAUCCUGGGGCUCAACCCCAGAACUGCCCUUGAUACUGAGGAGCUUGAGUCCGGGAGAGGUGAGUGGAACUCCGAGUGUAGAGGUGAAAUUCGUAGAUAUUCGGAAGAACACCAGUGGCGAAGGCGGCUCACUGGCCCGGUACUGACGCUGAGGUGCGAAAGCGUGGGGAGAAAACAGG